rnacentral:rRNA from 1 species
ACGGAAGGCAGCAGUAGGGAAUCUUCGGCAAUGGGGGCUACCCUGACCAAGCAACGCCGCGUGAGUGAAGAAGGUUUUCGGAUCGUAAAGCUCUGUUGUAAGAGAAGAACGUGUGUGAGAGUGGAAAGUUCACACAGUGACGGUAACUUACCAGAAAGGGACGGCUAACUACGUGCCAGCAGCCGCGGUAAUACGUAGGUCCCGAGCGUUGUCCGGAUUUACUGGGCGUAAAGCGAGCGCAGGCGGUUUAAUAAGUCUGAAGUUAAAGGCAGUGGCUUAACCAUUGUUCGCUUUGGAAACUGUUAGACUUGAGUGCAGAAGGGGAGAGUGGAAUUCCAUGUGUAGCGGUGAAAUGCGUAGAUAUAUGGAGGAACACCGGUGGCGAAAGCGGCUCUCUGGUCUGUAACUGACGCUGAGGCUCGAAAGCGUGGGGAGCAAACAGGAUUAGAUACCCUGGUA